UACAGAGGGGGGCAAGCGUUGUUCGGAAUUACUGGGCGUAAAGGGCGCGUAGGCGGCCUGCUAAGUCGAACGUGAAAUCCCCGGGCUCAACCCGGGAACUGCGUCCGAUACUGGUUGGCUUGAAUCCGGGAGAGGGAUGCGGAAUUCCAGGUGUAGCGGUGAAAUGCGUAGAUAUCUGGAGGAACACCGGUGGCGAAGGCGGCAUCCUGGACCGGCAUUGACGCUGAGGCGCGAAAAGCCAGGGGGAGCAAACGGG
rnacentral:rRNA from 1 species